GAUGAAAUGCACAUCUCCCGCAAAGCUUGUAGGAACGUAUUGACCUAAAAACCCAACCCAAGAGGGCCCGAGCCUCUCUCGGAGUCGGGGGAUUCCCACUGCGAGCGGCUGGACGACUGCCCCACGGCUGAGAUGGCACCGCUGCCCUUAUGCCCGCCAGCCCAGCAUCAGCCCCCCACCCCCCCCACCCUGCCGCCAGCACUCCGAGCACAGGUGCUGCACCAGACAGAAGCUUGAGUGCAUCGGAAGGACAAGCUCAGAGCCUGAUGACGCUGACGCAGAUUGGCUGCAGCACCCAGAAGACCUCACGUUUCUAGCCCUUGUGACUGAUGAACGAGGAGGGUUUUCCCUGCUUGGAAAGGGCUGUGAUCUGGAUGGGGGAGAGACACGGCUGCUGCUGCCGCUGCCACCACCGCUGCUCCUGUGAUUCAAGGCUGAAAGAGAAUUUAUGUCUUUUAUUAAAAUUCUUGAUCUUG